AGACGAGAGCUUGAAUUUCAAAAUAUCUCCCCUCUAUUGCAGAUGACAAUACUGAAAAAGCACAAAGACAUUUAUUAACCGGCCUGGAAUCAAAUACUUAUUCUACUCGGGAAGGAAACGUCCGGGAUUGGAAGGGACCUGAAGAGAUCUUCAAGCCGCGCCUUACAGCAAGUCCAAAAGAAAUGCAACAAAAGGAAACGAAAGGAAACAAAACAAAAUAUAGUCUCCAAAAAUUUCUCCUUUCAGAUCAAUUUCUCUUUUGGAAAACUGGAGAAGUCAAAUGACUAAAAGUUGCAUUCUGUG